CAAUAGAGUCUGGUCAACACACAGUUUGAGAUUUCGAGACGGAUCUUAACAGAUUCGUGGAUGUUGGUGUUUCUGGUUAUGGUAAAUUGCCACAAUUUUGAUAUUUUAUUGAAGUGAAAGUUUAAAAGAUCAAAGCUUUCAUUUAUGUUAAACUUUAACCAUAUUGCUCCUAAUUGUAAUCUUGAAAACUCUAUUGGCACGUCAAGAUGAUAUUUUGAAACAGUUCAGCAGUUUAUGAGCUCAUCCAGAUCAAGGUUAGCCAUAGUAUACUUUAAACUAUAAUAAUUUCAUUAUAGCUUGUUUAAUUAAAUAGAAAUAGUUUGUAGCAUUUAACACCUAAUAUAUAACUAUGUUUCAUUUUCAUGAUACAGUGAUCAAUGAACCUUAUCAAGUUAUCCCUUCAGGUUGUAUAAGAUGGAAAUCAGGACUAACUAUUAAAGAAGUGCUUUUGCAAUGAUAUUUUGAGAAGCAACCUCAAUUUUAUUACUUCGUUUCUUUUUAAUGUUUAGUAUAUCUAAAUUACAUUUUUCAAGUUGGACCAAAUUUUGUUGAUGUUAAUUUUUCUUUAAGGCGUAUGUAAUGAGAUAUCAUCUCAUGAAUGUUAUUUUGGUCUUUCCUAGUUAAUUUAUGACGGUGUUUUAAAAAGAUUUUUUUUAUUGUUA